rnacentral:lncRNA from 1 species
UUGCAUUAGCUUUCAUUGGUGGUAGUGGCGGAAGAGGAGAAGGAACGAGAGUGGCAGAGCUUUGGGCGGAGCAGAUAAGGGUUUUUGAAGGUGUGAAGAAAGACAAGAUCUUUGGUAUGGAUGAGGCAGUCAUUGUUGGGGGUUGUUUUCCAAUUCUACUGGAAUUUUUCGGGAGCUCUAAAUCCUUCAAGAUCGUCGAAAGAUUCUGUUACAGUGGUGGUGUGAGUUCAAUUUUUU